rnacentral:rRNA from 1 species
UGACCUCGGAUCAGGUAGGGAUACCCGCUGAACUUAAGCAUAUCAAUAAGCGGAGGAAAAGAAACCAACCGGGAUUGCCUCAGUAACGGCGAGUGAAGCGGCAACAGCUCAAAUUUGAAAUCUGGCCGUUCCGCGGUCCGAGUUGUAAUUUGGAGAGGAUGCUUCGGGUGCGGCGCCGGUCUAAGUUCCUUGGAACAGGACGUCAUAGAGGGUGAGAAUCCCGUACGUGACCGGCGACCCAGCCCGUGUGAAGCUCCUUCGACGAGUCGAGUUGUUUGGGAAUGCAGCUCUAAAUGGGUGGUAAAUUUCAUCUAAAGCUAAAUACCGGCCAGAGACCGAUAGCGCACAAGUAGAGUGAUCGAAAGAUGAAAAGCACUUUGGAAAGAGAGUUAAAAAGUACGUGAAAUUGUUGAAAGGGAAGCGCUUGCCACCAGACUUGCUCGCGGGUGAUCAGCCGUCCUUCUGGGCGGUGCACUCGCCCGCGAUCAGGCCAGCAUCGGUCUGGGCGGCCGGAUAAAGGCCCCGGGAAUGUGUCUCCCCCCGGGGAGUGUUAUAGCCGGGGUGCAAUGCGGCCAGCCCGGACCGAGACCGCGCUCGCU